GGAGGGGUUCCGGAGCUUGGUCAAACGGGUAAGACUCAAGAUCUUAUGACUUAGGUCUUCGUGGGUUCAAAUCCUACCCCCUCCA
rnacentral:tRNA from 1 species